GUAUCAGUCACGCAACAAAAAGGAGAGAUUGAAACGGUACCCAAAACUAUGAGAGUUCACUAUUUCCCCUGUCACCCUUAUAUCCUUAGAACAGACAGCAGCAGACUACGCUUCCUUACACUAAGGAGUGGGGAAGGCUGCCGGCUUCCGGAGACCCACAGAUAAACAUAUCCACAAUAACACUUGCAGUCUUAACGUCUGAGUGACUAUUUCACCAUCCCAUAACAAAAGAGUCCCUUUGGCAGAUUAAUAAUGGACACACACAAAACAUUAGGGCUAUGCUUUCAACACAGAGAGUGGGAUUUAGCUAUAGAACUCCCAUUAAAAUUAAUGGGACCUGAGCAGCUACAUGCAAGUGUGCCUUCCUGAAAAAGAUACCCAUGAUCUAUUUUCUUGUUAAUAAUGAUCAGCAAGAACAGCACGUAAUCUUGGAGAAACAUCUGCCUCUUGAUUUGUUCGUUGCCUAUUAAAAGACUGAUAUUUUCAAAUGUCCAUCUCUUUUUACCAUGUGUCUUCACCAGCACAAGUAGAAGUGUGUCACAAUCCAUACCAGACUCGGAUGCUUUCUACGAUUGAGAAAAUGAACCAUGGGCCCACUGAGGGAAGCCAUUAUUAGUGAGAGUACUAGCAGUGACAGGAGAAAAUAUCUUGAGACAGAUUACAGUACUGUGGUAGUAACUCUAGCUUGAGACAGACAUUGCAUUCUUAAUGGGACACCAUCCACUUCAAAUCCAUAUUUUUUUUUCUGAAUGUAUUUUAAUUAUUGUUAGAAAUUACACCUAAGAGGCCUCUAACUGAAAGAGAUUCUCUCUCUAUUUUAGGGUUUUAUACUGCUAACCAUAACAAGUAUCUGAGCACUUUCCACAUGAAAUCAAUAGCAACAAAGUCUCUAGUGAAUGUUAUAGAUUUUAAAGCCAAAAGUGACCAUUAUGAUCAUCUAAUCUGAGCAACUGACAUAGGCCAGAGAACCUCAUCCAAUAAUUUCUGCACUGAGCUCAUAAACUUCUGUUUGAGCUAUAGGAGAUCUUUUGAAAAGACAUCCAGCCCUGAUUUGAAGAGUUCAAGUGAUGGAGAAUCUGCCACAGUCCUAGAGUCUUUAAUUUGAAUCUGGAUGAUAGCAUGAGAACGGGAGGAAUCUGAGUUGACUCCAGUCGCCCCAGUGCUACGCUCCUUCCCACCCUUCAAAAUUACCUGGAAAACAAACAGGACAAAACAAAGGUUUAGUCAGCCAGAAAUCUAAGAGGCAAGUAAUGUGUGACACCAAGUACCAAUCCACUCAUCCAUCCCUGUACCCAGGAGCAAAUGAAACAUUGUCAAAGCAAGCAGCAAGGUUGACGUGAUCAAUUAUACUCAGACUUAACUACCAAGAACGGAACAAGGUGAGAGGUGGAAGAUGGGUUAAGGGACCUUCUGGGCUACAACUCUGGAUAAUUCUCUGUCCCAAAUCUCUGAAGAGUCACAAGAUUGCUUCAGCGAGCCCACCAACAAUGGGCAUCGUAAGGAAACAAAAAAGAGUCUAUAUUAUAGUUUCUGGAACAAUAGGAAUACAAUAAAAUGUCAACCUAGCAAAAUCAAAACACUCUUUAGAUACAAAUAUACAGUAUUCAUGCCUUCUGCUGGACUUCCACUCUUAAUCAGCAAUCUAGCUGGCUGCUAUAGCUCCUGAAUAUUUGUUAAACCAGAGCUAAAUUCAGGGAAGAGUUUGUGAACAGAAGGCAAUGCAUCAGUAAAUAAUGAAUAAUCAUGAGGUAUGCAUUGAAGACUCUUCUAAUACAUUUGGUAGCAUGCUAUUCAAGAGCAUCAAAUGAGUCUAAAGGCUCUUUCUGUGUUCAAAAGAGCCUAUGGACAAUAUGAAAUGAGCUGUUUUGCCAACAUACCUGUGAGAACAAAACCAUGUAAUAACUCUUCUGUAGGCAGGAUGUGAUAAUACAGAGGAAUGUAUUAAUCUACUGUAUACCAGAUCUGCACUCGAAUUUGCAGAAAUGUCUCCAGCGUAUCCUGUGCUUAGAGUUAAUGGAAAAACAAAACCCCAGAAGAUAGUGUCUGUCGAGUGGUAUAUAAAUGGACAAUAUUGUUCCAAGUCCUAAACA